AAAGGGAAUCACAUAAAUUAAUACAAAUUCCAAAAACUCCAAAUCAACAUGUCAUUGGAGCGGAAAAAGUCUUGCACGUCUUGCAUAGUAUUGUUGGAGUCUUGGUUUUAUUUGAUCCACUCCGCCCUUAUUUGUUUGAUGAUGAUGCUCGAGAGGAAUGACUUUUCUUUGGACCCAUUUCCUGAAAAAACAACAACAACACUAGAAAGUGCAAAGAGAUUAGAAAAAAAUAAUAGGAUUAAAGAGAGUUUUUAGAAACUCUUUCUUCUUUCAAUCCCUUUCUCAAGUCUUUGUCCUGCAUCGCGUGCGCGAUGCAACCUUUACUUUUCUAUCGCAUGCGCGAUGCAACCUUUACUUUUCGAUCGCACGCGCGAUGCUGCACGUGAUUAUUCUAGUGGCCGCACACUUUUGCUCCAUUUUCACCUGAUUUUCACCAAGUCCUUAUUUCUCAAAACUUAGUCAUUUUUUCCUCUUUCUUUAGCCUUUGUUCUUCAGAUUUUCUCCUUUUAAACUUGUUUUGAUCCAUUUCUUCGACGGAAAAUAUGCAAUGGCAGAGUGUCAUCAGACAUCAAUGAUACCACUUACGGAUCCAACGUUUGGAUUUCCUCUAUGGGCAAUAACGAUUCUACAUAGCGAUCCAACAUUUUGAUCGCUUAUAUCGACGACAAGGAUCCCAAUUAAGGAUUCAAUAUUUGGAUCGUCUCUAUAGACGACAAGGAUGAUACUCAGGGAUCUAACAUUUUGAUCGCCUUAAUGGGAUACAAGGAUUUCACUAAAGGAUCUAACAUUUUGAUUACCUCAAUGGACGGUAAGGAUCCCACUUAAGGAUCCAAUAUUUUGAUCGCCUCAAUGGACGACAAGAAUUCCACUUAAGGAUCCAUCGUUUUGAUCACCUCAAUGGGGACAAGGAUCCCAUUUAAGGAUCCAACAUUUUGAUCGUCUCAAUGAGCGACAAAGAUCACACUUAAGGAUCCAACACUUUGAUCACCUCAAUAGGCGGAAAAGAUCCCACUUAGGGAUCCCACAUUUUGAUCACCUUUAUAGAAGGCAAGGAUUCCACUUAGGGAUCCAACAUUUCGAUUGCCUCUAUGGGCUACAAGGAUCCUACUUAAGGAUCUAGCGUUUCGAUCUCCUCCAUGGACGACAAGGAUCCCAAUUAGGGAUCCAACAUUUGAACCUCCUCUAUGGACAACAAGGAUCUCACUUAAGGAUCUAGCACUUUGAUUGUCUCAAUGGACGACAAGGGUCCCACUUAAGAAUCAAGCAUUUUUAUCGCCUCAACGGGCAGAAAGGAUCCCACUUAAGGAUUCAACACUUGGAUUGCCUCAAAGGGCGGCAAGGAUCCCACUUAAGGAUCCAUCAUUUUGAUUGCCUCAAUGGACGACAAGGAUCCUACUUAGGCAUAUAACAUUUUGAUCGCCUCCAUGAGGGUAAGGACCCCACUUAGGGAUCCAACAUCUGGAUCGCCUCAAUGGGCAGCAAGGAUCCCACUUAGGGAUUCAACGUUAUGCUUGCCUCAUAGAACAAUCUUCUCUCGAGCUUUUAGGUUUUAUUGUAAAAAGGUAAUAACUAGCAAAUACAAACUCUCCAAGAUAAUAAAGUGAUGAGCCUCAUUAAAAACCCUCGCCCCAUGAAAAGUGCAGAGGGAAAACAAUGCAUUCCAAAAAAUAAAAUUUUCCUUACAGUCGGCAUAGAUUUAAUACUCGCCUAUAAAAAAUCAACGAUAAAGUAACCAAACAAUAAUAAAGAAAAAAACUAAAUGACAACUAUGCAGAUGUUUCCAGAGGGCAUCCCUUCUAAACACUCAAUCUUCGAUAUCCAUAGUGGUUGGAGGGGGAGCCUCCUCUCCCUUGCAGGUUUCUCUUGGCGACUUUAUUCCUGAGUCCAUUUUUCUGGAUUUCCCGCCUAUAGUGCAAACCCUUUUCAACUUUAGACUCUCCACAUAACAUUUUUUAAAGAUCUCUUGAUUUCCUUGGAUAACCCCCACUAGCACAUCCUAGAACUAUACAUUGGUUUUUUGUUUGUUGAGGUGAAAGUUUUGUCAUAAAAUAUAUUAUUUAUAUUAGUUGUAUAAUGAGCUAUCAAUUUUUUUUUACCACAACUACUAACCCGUGAUGAAAAAUAAGGUAUUUACUAUCACGCCAUACAUUGUCAUGGACCUCCAAACUUAAUAAAAUUCUUCGCCUAAUUAUAGUGAUAUUUAAUUUUCUUAGUAUUUAAAGUAAAGAUUAUUUUUGGGAGAGUGGCAAACAUCAAACAUCGGCCGUUUUAGGAAUAAGAGGCUUGAAAUAUGAUAAUUUAAUUAUUCCUACUGACCCCUUAUUAUUAAUAUUUUUAUUGUUUUUGUAUUUUGGUCGGCUUAGUCUUUCUUUUUUCUUCCCGUUGUUGUUGAGUAAGUACUCUUUUUCUUCUAUUCCCUAACUCCUUGUAAAUUGAUAGUUUGUAAUGAUUUUUUUUGAUUUAUUUAGAUUCUUUUUUCCAUCUUUAAACUGUGAACUUUAUUUUUAAAAUUUGCAGUAUAGAUCAAUAUUCAAAAUUCUCUCAAAAGUUUAGAAAUUAUGUAUAAAUUAACACAGUUUAAACUCGACAAAGCAAAUAAAGAUCUAAUUUAAUUACCAUUUAAUUUUAUGAAUGUUUUAUUAAAUUAAUUUAAUUAUAAUUUAAUUUUGAUAAAUUUAAAACUUGUGCCGCUGACGGCCUUGUACUUCUGUAAAGACGGUCGUGUCAAUGUUAUCACAAAUUUAUUUACUAUUAAAAUGUAAUUCUUUUAAAUUAUUUUAUCAAUCCAAUCAAGUUCCCACAUUAAUUUUAUGUUUACUUAAAAUCUAUACCUAAUCAUAUUGCCUAUAUUUAUUAUUAAAGGGGAUAUUUUAAUUUCUAAGAGAGAACGAAUGCAACAACACUGCCAUAAUACAAUAAUAAAUAUUUAGGUUGAAGUUUGAGAAAAUUAUAAAAGUAUCAACAUUAUAGUUACAAAUAGAAUUAUUUUUUAACUUUAUUCCUACAAUUACCAACAUUUACAUAUCCCUGAUACACACCUUGGAUGUUUUGGACGCAUGCAACAAGUCAUUUCUCUACGACAUGUUCUAUUAGAUUGGCAUAAGAUAACUCCAACGACAAUUCCUGUGACGUUAAAUUAAUUUUGAAAAAUGAAAGAUUAAGAAUAAAUUUUGAAAAUAAAUUGCAAAAUUAAACUUACCAUCGGUUACCACGACAAAUAUGAAAAGAAAAAUAAUCAUGAAAUAAGCAAACUUAAGAUUCUGUGUCAUAUGUUCUCUCAUUUGCAUGUUGAAAUACAUACAUUUGUAUAAUUACUUUAUAGUGUGAAAAUUGCAUUUUCAAAUUAGAAUUAUUAAUUAAUG
rnacentral:lncRNA from 1 species